rnacentral:rRNA from 1 species
GACGAACGCUGGCGGCGCGCUUAACACGUGCAAGUCGAACGGAAAGGCCUGCUUUCCCUUGUGGAUUGCGGGUACUCGAGUGGCGAACGGGUGAGUAACACGUGAGUGAUCUGCCCCCAACUUGGGUAUAAGCCUGGGAAACUGGGUCUAAUUCCCGAUAGGACUGCAGGGUGGUGCCUGUGGUGGAAAACGAUUUUCUAGUGGUUGGGGAUGAGCUCGCGGCCUAUCAGCUUGUUGGUGGGGUAAUGGCCUACCAAGGCGGCGACGGGUAGCCGGCCUGGGAGGGUGGACGGCCCCAUUGGGACUGAGAUACGGCCCAGACUCCUACGGGAGGCAGCAGUGGGGAAUAUUGCACAAUGGGCGGAAGCCUGAUGCAGCGACGCCGCGUGGGGGAUGACGGCCUUCGGGUUGUAAACUCCUUUCGACCGCGAGGAAGCCACCUGGUUGGAAGGGUGGUGACGGUAGUGGUAGAAGAAGCACCGGCUAACUACGUG